rnacentral:rRNA from 1 species
AGAGUUUGAUCCUGGCUCAGAAUCAACGCUGGCGGCGUGCCUAACACAUGCAAGUCGAACGGGAAAGGCCCGCAAGGGCUGAGUAGAGUGGCGCACGGGUGAGUAACACGUGGACAACCUGCCUGGAAGUGGGGGAUAACAUCUCGAAAGGGGUGCUAAUACCGCAUAACACUUUGGUUGAAAGGCUGAGGUUGAAAGAAGCAAUUCGCUUCUGGAGGGGUCCGCGCCUGAUUAGCUAGUUGGUGGGGUAACGGCUCACCAAGGCAACGAUCAGUAGCCGUCCUGAGAGGGAGCACGGCCACACUGGAACUGAGACACGGUCCAGACUCCUACGGGAGGCAGCAGUGGGGAAUUUUUGGCAAUGGGGGAAACCCUGACCAAGCAACGCCGCGUGGGUGAUGAAGUAUCUUGGUACGUAAAACCCUUUCGGCAGGGACGAAGAACGUGACGGUACCUGCGGAAGAAGCUCCGGCUAACUCCGUGCCAGCAGCCGCGGUAAUACGGGGGGAGCGAGCGUUGUUCGGAAUUACUGGGCGUAAAGGGCGCGCAGGCGGUUGGAUAAGUGAGUGGUGAAAACCCCGGGCUUAACUCGGGGCCGGCCAUUCAAACUGUCUGGCUGGAGUGUGGGAGAGGGAAGUGGAAUUCCUGGUGUAGCGGUGAAAUGCGUAGAUAUCGGGAGGAAUACCAGUGGCGAAGGCGGCCUUCUGGACGGAUACUGACGCUGAGGCGCGAAAGCCAGGGGAGCAAACGGGAUUAGAUACCCCGGUAGUCCUGGCUGUAAACGAUGUUCACUUGGUGUG